rnacentral:rRNA from 1 species
AUUGAACGCUGGCGGCAGGCCUAACACAUGCAAGUCGAGCGAGCGGCGCAGGGGUGAGUACUGUCUGGGAAACUGCCUGAGGGAGAGGGAUAACUACUGGAAACGGUAGCUAAUACAGCAUACCAUCAGAUGUGCCCCGAUGGGAUUAGCUAGUAGGUGGGGUAACGGCUCACCUAGGCGACGAUCCCUAGCUGGUCUGAGAGGAUGACCAGACACACUGGAACUGAGACACGGUCCAGACUCCUACGGGAGGCAGCAGUGGGGAAUAUUGCACAAUGGGCGCAAGCCUGAUGCAGCCAUGCCGCGUGUGUGAAGAAGGCCUUCGGGUUGUAAAGCACUUUCAGCGGGGAGGCGUUACCCGCAGAAGAAGCACCGGCUAACUCCGUGCCAGCAGCCGCGGUAAUAC